GCCAACUUGACCUUCUCACGAGACCCAUAUCCAUUAGCCAUCACGCACAUGUUCCGCCACUUAUCCUUAAGAUCUACGUUCGAACGCAAAAUCAAUAUGCCACUGAAUUCUGGAUCCUUGAGAAUAGUGCGCCAUCUGCCAGCUCCGUGCUUAGCAAUUCCAGCUUUGAGUGCCGAUUCUUCCUCUGCAGUCCAUUUCUGCU
rnacentral:misc_RNA from 1 species